rnacentral:rRNA from 1 species
UCCUACGGGAGGCAGCAGUGGGGAAUAUUGGGCAAUGGACGCAAGUCUGACCCAGCAACGCCGCGUGAAGGAAGAAGGCUUUCGGGUUGUAAACUUCUUUUAAGGGGGAAGAGCGGAAGACGGUACCCCUUGAAUAAGCCACGGCUAACUACGUGCCAGCAGCCGCGGUAAUACGUAGGUGGCGAGCGUUGUCCGGAUUUACUGGGUGUAAAGGGCGUGCAGCCGGGUCUGCAAGUCAGAUGUGAAAUCCGCGGGCUUAACCCGUGAACUGCAUUUGAAACUGCGGGUCUUGAGUAUCGGAGAGGUAAUCGGAAUUCCUGGUGUAGCGGUGAAAUGCGUAGAUAUCAGGAAGAACACCAGUGGCGAAGGCGGAUUACUGGACGACAACUGACGGUGAGGCGCGAAAGCGUGGGGAGCAAACAGGAUUAGAUACCCUGGUAGUCC